AUUGAACGCUGGCGGCAGGCCUAACACAUGUAAGUCGAACGAGUGGCGGACGGGUGAGUAAUGUCUGGGAAACUGCCUGAUGGGGGGGGAUAACUACUGGAAACGGUAUCUAAUACCGCAUACCAUCAGAUGUGCCCAGAUGGGAUUAGCUUGUUGGUGGGGUAACGGCUCACCAAGGCGACGAUCCAUAGCUGGUCUUAGAGGAUGACAAGCAAGACGGGAACUGAGACACGGUCCAGACGCCGACGGGAGGCAGCAGUGGGGAAUAUUGCACAAUGGGGGCAAGCCUGAUGCAGCCAUGCCGCGUGUAUGAAGAAGGCCUUCGGGUUGUAAAGUACUUUAAGCGGGGAGGCGUUACCCGCAGAAGAAGCACCGGCUAACUCCGUGCCAGCCGCCGCGGUAAUAC
rnacentral:rRNA from 1 species